AGCUUUGCACAAUGUCAGUAUUGUAGCCAAUGAGGUUUAUCCGAGGUAUGAUUAUUGCUAAUUAAAAAACAAAAAUAGAGAUAAUGUCAGAGUAUUUUCCAGAUUAGAUGAUGAGUCCUUAUUUAAAACAUUAUACUGCCCAGUUGU